rnacentral:rRNA from 1 species
UACAGAGGUCUCAAGCGUUGUUCGGAUUUACUGGGCGUAAAGCGCACGUAGGCGGACUCUUAAGUCGGGGGUGAAAGCCCAGGGCUCAACCCUGGAACUGCCUUCGAUACUGGGAGUCUUGAGUGUGGAAGAGGUUGGUGGAACUGCGAGUGUAGAGGUGAAAUUCGAUAGAUAUUCGCAAGAACACCAGUGGCGAAGGCGGCCAACUGGUCCAUUACUGACGCUGAGGUGCGAAAGCGUGGGGAGCAAACAGGG